rnacentral:tRNA from 1 species
GCGGGUAUCGUAUAAGGGCUAUUAUCCCUCCCUUCCAAGGAGGUGAUACGGGUUCGAAUCCCGUUACCCGCUCCA